rnacentral:lncRNA from 1 species
AUCUUCUGCUUCACCCCAUGCUCGGUCCCUGAGCCAGUUCUGUCAUUGGUUCUUUCACACCAGGGCAGGAAAAGUCAAGAAAGCAAAAGCAGAUUCUAGGCCGUGGGGUUUGCUGUUUGCUAGCCCCCUGGCAGAGAUGCCUGUCCUUGCAGUCCUGAACUGGUGGCCAAGUGUGCAUGCAUGCACGUGCAGGUGUGUGCGUGUGCAGGUGUGCAUGCAUGUAUGUGCGCGCACACAUUCAUGCUUGUACAUGUUUGUGUACAUGCACACUUUUUUCUGCUUUCAAUUUCAAGCUGUUGCCUCCCUGAUGUGUCUGUUUAGUGACUUGAACCAGAAAGAUCCCCGGUUCUAUGUGGGAUGAGAAUGAACACAGGCAGGUCUCCACAGAAGUGAGUAAAGUAGAGCUGAGAAGAAGGACAUUGUCUCAUGCCAGCCUGUCCAAUAGCCACUUUGCCCCAGCCCUGCCUCAAGCCCCAGAGAGAUGACAAGGCUCUCUCUGUUUGUUGACUCCUUGAAGCUCAGAAAGGUGGGUCAAGAGGUGCCCAUCAAGCGUUUAGGCAAGCACAGGACCCUGAUCUUUACUAAGUCUCCACAUCUCUCUUACACAGCCCUGGGCUCAGGGCUUGGUCCCCUCUGGGCAGGCCAUCCAGACUAAGUGACAGUCAGAUUGUGUGUGGGGAGGCUAGAGACAUCCAUUCUUCAUGGAUCAGCCUGAAUGGCUGGACAGAUCGUGCAAAUGGAUUGUGUAAGGCAGAGUGUGGAAGAGGAGGCUGUGAUCAGUGGCUUGGAGAGCAGAGUGUGGUCAGGUGCUAAACCUAAGGCUUUUCUGGGAAGAGCUCUUAAGAUUAGACUGUUCUCCCCAAAAGCCAAUAAUUCUGAGUGUCUCCAUUAAUGCCUAGGUAGCCCAUACUCUCACCCAGCCAGUGCCCUUCAGCCUGGAACCUUUGGAUGGAGGAUUGGACCUUGUGACCUUCAAGUUCCCUUCCAAACCAAAUAUGCUCUAACCCAGGAGAUGGUGCUGUUGCCCAGGAAGCCGGUCACCAUGACGAGAGUACCCGCUCAGAUGAGGAUGCAGGCGGAGGCAGUGAAGGUGCUGGAGGCCAGGAUGCUGAGGUAGCUGCUCCUCUCCACCAGGGUCCAGAUGCCCAUGGCCAGGACAGCUGCCCCCCUGACCUGCAGGAGACCACCGGGUUGGAGCAGGGGGUGGUGGGGGCCUCAGGAGCUGCCAUUCCUUGAGUGCCUUCUGGGUACCAGGCACUUCUCGUGCAUUGUCUUAUUCAAUUCAGGCCUCCUAAGAGCCUGUGAGAACAGUGUGGUGGCCUAGCUUUACAGAUGAGGAAACGGAGGCUGAGAGAGGUUUGCAGGCUUGUCCAAGGUCACACAUGUAAGCGAGCUGCAGAUUUUGCAUCUGGGUCUGACUUCUGAUUCUGUGCAUCUUACUAUGGUUCCUACUGCAUAUGAGGCGGGGAGAAAUGACUUCAGUUUUGGGGAUGACUAAUAUACCUGAGUCCCUUCGCCUCCCCUCCCCUCAGAGCGCUCCCUCCCUCUGUCCACGUUUCCCUGAUGGAUGUGGAGGUGCCAUUUUGAGCACCUCCCCUUGUUCAAUCCUUAUAUUUGCCCAUUGGGGAAGCACGGCUGGGCACCUUAUCCCUCCCUGUUCUACAGAGGAAGGAACUGAGGCCCAUGGAGGAGAGGUAAAUGGCCCGAGUUAGGGGCAGGGCCAGGACCAGGACUCAGAGCCCAGGGCCUGCUCGCUCAGUCUCGCUGCCUCCAUGAUGGCAGGGCCACUGUGCUGGACAAGUUGGAGCUCCCUGGGACCACAGGAGGAGGGAGGAGAGCCUUCUUUGCUGUCUGAUUCCCUUUCAGUCCUGAGAGGGGGCAGGGACGGGACACUGCUGAUUUGCAGGUCUGGGGGAUGCCUUCUUGGAAAGAGAGUACCUGGGAAAUGUAGCUGGGGUGGUGGGGCUUGACUGUUCUUUCCUGCCAUGAAGCUGAGGAGCCCUUUAGUGACUGUUAUCCUCAGCAGAGCAUAGUGGGUGGGUGCAAGUGUCCUCAAGGUGCUGGAUGCGGGCUGUUUGGAGUGUUUUCCCAGGAUUUGGGUCCUCUGGGACCUCUGACCGUCUCUGUCAUUUGCUCCUGGGAAGGUGGACUUCUGUCUCCCAGUCUCUCUGCCCGCCAUUUAGGGACGGGUCCAUUUCCUCUGAUGGUCAG